UAUUGUUUAGUAGUAUACAAAUGUGUCACUAGAAUUCUAAUUAAAAGGAUCACUCCUUUUCUCCCUGAUUUCAUCUCCCUUAGUUCGAGCGCUUUCAUACAAGGAAAACACAUUAUUGACCAUACCUUAUUAGCUCAGGAGAUUGUUAGAGGUUAUAGCAGGAAGAACUUGCCCCCCAGGUGCAUCUGUAAAAAGCUUUCGACACACUUAAUAAGGGUUGUGCUUGAUAUUCUGACUACCACGAGAUUUCUUGAUAUUUUUGUAGGGUGGAUACAAGCAUGCAUCACUACUUCAAGUUUUUCAAUCUCUCUAAAUGGUUGUUUGGUAGAGUUUUUUAGGGGCGCUAGAGGCAUUAAGCAAGGGUACCCUCUGUCUGGCCCACCGAUAGUUGUGCACCUCCUCUGAUUUUGCUCAAUAUCGAAAUUGGAAGGAAUUGGAGAAGUUUUUUUUACCAAAAUUCUAUAAACACCAAAAACUCAGAUGCAUGACCCUAUGCGUUCCUUAACGAACUAUCCGUUCACAUCGUCAAUUCUAAUUUUAAGCCUAAAGCUCCAUCUCACCUUCUAAUACGACGUCGUCUCCCUCCCUUUGACCGCCACCUCACCGUAUCCCUUUACUCUCAUAACCACCACCAGGAUGCUCGCCUACGCUCCGUGGAAUAUUCCAUGGUUUUACACGCCGUUUUACUCACUCCUUUCCUCGCCGCCGCUGGCUCUUGCCUCCAACAGUCUCCGUAUUCGCUGGCAUCCGCCUCCGUCUAAGGUUGUGGAAUAGGAAGUAGCGGUGUCGACGAGGAAGCGAGGGCCGUUUGCUUUGGCUAUUGAAGCUUUUCCUUCCGACAUACAAAACCAAUUCAAUCAGUUGGUGCAUAAAAGGAUAGAUGGGGAGGACUUGGAAAUCUUAUGUUUCACAUUGGCCAGCUCAAAGGUGGCAGGAGUAAUAGCCCAUUUUCAAUUAUUGUCGCGAUAAUCAAGUUCGCCUUGUUACUUGUGGAACUCCAUUAAAGGUACUCUACAUUGUCAGUUAUUCUACGUCCAUCCUCGUUCCACUAACCAUGUCAUCAUCCUUUUCGUGUUAUCAUGUUGGUCUAUCACCCUGUAGAGUUUGUUGAAAACUGAUGAUUAAUGUAAUUUCACCUAUUUUUGGUUCUAAACGGUUAGAACGUCUUGUCAGUUUAUUGUGAUAGAUCCUAUUGGUUUCUAUUAUGUUCAUAAGACUCGGUUUUCAAAUUUGGGUAUACUACUUGCAUGUUUUAAGUUUGAAUUUUGGGGAUGGGAAGGGUUUUCUCUGCAGUCUUCAAUAGUGUAAUCCAAGAUAUUUGUGAUCUCAUAGGUAAAAUGAAAGGAAUAAGACUAAAAUUUAAAUUUUUUUUUCUGUUUUAGUUCAUAUGAUGUUACCAUUCUAUCAUCUUAGCUUGUGCACAAGGCCAUAUAGUGAAUAUGGUAUAUCCUAAUUAUUUUAAUAAUGAUCCUGAGGACUAUGCAAGUUGAAGUAUUCAUGGUCUCUCUAAGGCUGUGUGUAAGGUAUACAUGCUCCUCCAGAUGGUUCAGGCUUUAGUUCUAUUUCAUGCAGAUCAUCAAUGGGUAAUCAUUUUCUGACUCAACUGAUUCCAUUUGGUCCAAGUUCAUAUUUAUCUGCACAAGCAAGAGUGGUUGAGGAAUAUAACAUGUCCUAAAAUUAUUGUAAAAGAAGUUGCAGAUAGGGUAGGCUCUGGUUUGUUAAUAGUUGUGACAGGUGCAAUUUGGUUCUAGAGGGACAGGGGCGCCUGCCAGGAUUUCAAUGAAGAUUCAGAAGAAGAACCAAGUGGUUAUUCUCCUUUUUUUUUUUUUGAUAAGUCAAGUGGUUAUACUCCUUAAUCCUGAAAGGCAGUACAUAGGAAGAGGAGAGGUCGCUGUUGCUAAUUAAGUGUGGUAUUCCGCUGCCAGACCAUGCAGUAGAAAGUUGUUUUAAUCAUACUGAAAUUGCUCGAGUUAUGAAUGCAGCUGGCAGGCAGGCAGCGAGAUGCUCUACCGGAGGACCUUCAUAUGGGGCUUGACCUUCAGAGGUACCGUACAACUUUUUUGAUGUGGAGCAAUAUCCUCUUAUUUCAUAGCUCACCCAUCGGUUCCAGGUAUAUUUACUUUCUAGAAAUGAAAUUUAUUGCAAUUAUGUUUAUUAUUGUAGAUUAAUGUCUAUCAUAGUUUCAUAAAAUUGCACCUCUUGUGCGGAUAAUAAGCCAUAUGCAAUUUGAAAAAGAAAAAAUUCUUCGGAGAAAUUGUCCAAAGAUUGUCCAAGUUGAACAUUGCCCCUCUUGUUUGCAUUUCCUUAGGAUUAUUAAUCUUAAUGUUCAAUAUUAUAUUUAGAUCCUUUAGAUCAUGUCAUGUUAUUGCAAGAUCAUCAUAACUUGAUAGAAUUUAUCUAAAUGGAGAAGGAACAACAUAAUCCUUUUGAGACCUUUUCUCGAAAACAAGUUGUGUUGGCUUAAGAACUCUUGCAUAUUAAUUUUCUCAAGGUAGGUUUUUCUCAAGGUAGAUUUUGGCAUCAAGAACAUUGCCUUGUGAGGUCACUUUUAUAUUUUGCAUUCAUAAUGACAGUCUAGCAAUGCAUUUAAAGAAUAGAAUUGGAGAAAAAUAAUGAAUCUACUGAGUUGAUAAUUACUAGAAGGUUUUUGUUAGCGUAAAGUCCAUGCCAAUCCAUCAUCAGACCGAGCUAAGACUUUGUUGUUCGCUCAUCUUCUUAAGCAGCCUCUGCUUGACCUUUUCAAAAGACUGCUCUAGGUUCAUCAGCUGCAUCAUUGUAGAAAGCAUUAGUGUUCCUAAACUAAUUGAUAGUAAGAUUGGAUGCUUGCUUUCGGCUACAUGGAUAGCUACCUACGUACCUCUUGUUGAGCAAACCUGUUAUGGAUGAAUAACCCACUGAACAGAUCGAAACUAUCAUUGGUAGUGCUCUCCUUCUGCAAUCAUUAUCAUAUUAAUGCAUCUCCUUUUUGAGAAUGUUGAAGAAGCUAAAUGAAAAUUGCAUUAAUUUAAGACAUCUUAUUGAGCUUACCAAUUUAACAAGUGUUUCGAAGCUUUUGGUGUUCAUGGAUGUGGAUUCAAUUCCCAUUUCCGCCAAAAUCCUAUCAAAGUAAGAUGCAAAAAUUUUUAUCACAAGCAGUCUCCCCAUUGUAGUUGGUUUACCCGAUGAACCAGCAUUGAAAUAAGAUAAAGAUGAGUAAAACAUACCUGCCGAUUGAAUGGGAAAGAAAUUGACUUCUAGCGGCAACUUUGUCAUGUUCUUCACAAGACAUUUCCACCAUUCUGCAACCCUUUUCCAAUAUAUUCUCUAAUUAACCAAUGCAUCCACUCUGUAAAUUGCAUUAAUUCCGAGCAUUUGAUUUAGAUUACCUCAGAUUCAAAGAUGUGUAGGAAGCUGGAGCACCUAGUUUCAUCCCUCACCCGAACUUUCUCAUACACUAAAGGAAGAUCUUUCCACCCAUUUUUCCCACUUUCAGGUCCAAACAUUGGAUGAGUGCAGAGCACGUCCAUAUUCUCUGGCAAAACCUGAAAAAAAAAAAAAACACCAUUUUCAACCUGGACAAAAGAAAUAUGAUCAAGGGGGUUGAAGCAAAAUCAUAAUAUCAUACUUGCAAUAAAACGUUUCUUGGGUGUUCUUUGACCGAGAGCACAUCGACAAACAACGUGUGGCGUUUGAGGCGACGUAAUGGCAUUGAGUUGAGUACCUCCGAUAGAGAUAGGAUUGACGUGCAUAUCAAUAUCACAUCAUUAUCUGCUUCAAGAAAUGGAAUUACGUCCCUAAAAAUGCAGAAACAAGGGUUUCACAAAAGAAUCAAUGUGUAGUGUUGGCUUUGCGUUUAAUUGAAGUUGAGAGUAGGAUCUACCUGAAGAAGGGAACAUCCAAUUGAUGACAAAGCUGGGAAUAAUCUGUCCGAGAAGUUGCCCUUGUAGUAUGGCCUUGCUUGAUCAUUGUCUUCGCCAGGAACUGCCCAAAUGUACCAAAACCAACGAUGCCUACUUUCAGAGUUUGCGGAGGCAAGGAAGACGACGACGACGACGACGACGACGACGACGAAGACGACGACGACGACGACAUGGCAGACGAAAACUCAGCAAAGAAAGAUGGAGGGUUAUACAGAUUUGGAUGUGUUGAUGUGUUAUUAAGUCAAGAGCUGUGCUUUAGUAGGGAUAUUAAUCGAAACUUUGGCAGAGGCGGCACGUUGAUUCCCCGCUGUUCUAUCUUACCCGUCUCUCUGACAAAAAUGUAAAAUAUCCUAUAUAUAUUGUCCUUACUUGUCCUCAGUUUUGGUACUUAAAUCUUUUGUUUAUACUUAACUGAUUUGUGAUUUUAAAUUUUGUCAUGUGAAAAUUUUAUAUAAA